rnacentral:rRNA from 1 species
UACGUAGGGUGCAAGCGUUGUCCGGAAUUAUUGGGCGUAAAGAGCUCGUAGGCGGUUUGUUGCGUCGGCUGUGAAAUCCCGAGGCUCAACCUCGGGUCUGCAGUCGAUACGAGCAAACUAGAGUGUUGCAGGGGAGACUGGAAUUCCUGGUGUAGCGGUGGAAUGCGCAGAUAUCAGGAAGAACACCCGUGGCGGAAGGCGGCUCUCUGGGACGGUAC